rnacentral:rRNA from 1 species
CGCCUGUUUAUCAAAAACAUGGCUCCCUGUUUUUUCACAUAGGGAGUCGGACCUGCUCGGUGAAUUAUUUUAACAGCCGCGGUACUCUGACCGUGCAAAGGUAGCAUAAUCAUUUGCCUUAUAAUUGAAGGCUAGUAUGAAUGGUUUGACGAGAAUUGAGCUGUCUCUUUUCAACUAAAUAUAAUUUUAUUAAUAGGUGAAGAAGCCUAUAUUUCAUUGAAAGACAAGAAGACCCUAUCGAGCUUUAAGGAAUUUAAUAGACUCGCCAUAUAUUUAUAGAAAAACGAGACUACUAAAAACUUUGGUUGGGGCGACUGAGGAACAAAUAAAGCUUCCUCUUGAUUUAAAAUAACUUACAGGUAUUGAUCCGAUAAAUUUGAUUAAAGGAAUUAGUUACCGUAGGGAUAACAGCAUAAUCCCCUUUGAGAGUCCUUAUCGAAAAGGGGGUUUGUGACCUCGAUGUUGGACCAGAAUACCCAGAAGAUGCAGCCGUCUUCAAUGGUUGGUCUGUUCGACCAUUAAAAUUCUACGUGAUCUGAGUUCAGACCGG